GAUGAACGCUGGCGGCGUGCCUAAUACAUGCAAGUCGAGCGAACAGACGAGGAGCUUGCUCCUUUGACGUUAGCGGCGGACGGGUGAGUAACACGUGGGUAACCUACCUAUAAGACUGGGAUAACUUCGGGAAACCGGAGCUAAUACCGGAUAAUAUUUCGAACCGCAUGGUUCGAUAGUGAAAGAUGGCUUUGCUAUCACUUAUAGAUGGACCUGCGCCGUAUUAGCUAGUUGGUAAGGUAACGGCUUACCAAGGCAACGAUACGUAGCCGACCUGAGAGGGUGAUCGGCCACACUGGAACUGAGACACGGUCCAGACUCCUACGGGAGGCAGCAGUAGGGAAUCUUCCGCAAUGGGCGAAAGCCUGACGGAGCAACGCCGCGUGAGUGAUGAAGGUCUUCGGAUCGUAAAACUCUGUUAUUAGGGAAGAACAAACGUGUAAGUAACUGUGCACGUCUUGACGGUACCGAAUCAGAAAGCCACGGCUAACUACGU
rnacentral:rRNA from 1 species